UGGGGAAUUUUGGACAAUGGGCGAAAGCCUGAUCCAGCCAUGCCGCGUGAGUGAAGAAGGCCUUCGGGUUGUAAAGCUCUUUUAGUCGGAAAGAAAGAGUUGCAAUGAAUAAUUGCGAUUUAUGACGGUACCGACAGAAAAAGCACCGGCUAACUACGUGCCAGCAGCCGCGGUAAUACGUAGAGUGCGAGCGUUAAUCGGAAUUACUGGGCGUAAAGGGUGCGCAGGCGGUCUUGCAAGUCAGAUGUGAAAGCCCCGGGCUUAACCUGGGAAUUGCGUUUGAAACUACAAGGCUAGAGUGCAGCAGAGGGGAGUGGAAUUCCAUGUGUAGCAGUGAAAUGCGUAGAGAUGUGGAAGAACACCGAUGGCGAAGGCAGCUCCCUGGGUUGACACUGACGCUCAUGCACGAAAGCGUGGGGAGCAAACA
rnacentral:rRNA from 1 species